UCCAGACUCCUACGGGAGGCAGCAGUGAGGAAUAUUGGUCAAUGGGCUUACGCCUGAACCAGCCAAGUCGCGUGAGGGAAGACUGCGCUAUGGGUUGUAAACCUCUUUUGUCAGGGAGCAACGCCGGCUACGUGUAGCCGGACUGAGAGUACCUGAAGAAAAAGCAUCGGCUAACUCCGUGCCAGCAGCCGCGGUAAUACGGAGGAUGCGAGCGUUAUCCGGAUUUAUUGGGUUUAAAGGGUGCGUAGGCGGAAUGCCAAGUCAGCGGUAAAAUCGCGGGGCUCAACCUCGCUCCGCCGUUGAAACUGCAUCCCUUGAGUGCGCGAGAAGUAUGCGGAAUGCGUGGUGUAGCGGUGAAAUGCAUAGAUAUCACGCAGAACUCCGAUUGCGAAGGCAGCAUACCGGCGCGCAACUGACGCUCAUGCACGAAAGCGUGGAUAUCGAACAGGAUUAGAUACCCUAGUAGU
rnacentral:rRNA from 1 species